rnacentral:rRNA from 1 species
AGUGAACGCUGGCGGUAGGCCUAACACAUGCAAGUCGAACGGCAGCACAGUAAGAGCUUGCUCUUACGGGUGGCGAGUGGCGGACGGGUGAGGAAUACAUCGGAAUCUACUUUUUCGUGGGGGAUAACGUAGGGAAACUUACGCUAAUACCGCGUACGACCUACGGGUGAAAGCAGGGGAUCUUCGGACCUUGCGCGAUUGAAUGAGCCGAUGUCGGAUUAGUUAGUUGGCGGGGUAAAGGCACACCAAGGCGACGAUCCGUAGCUGGUCUGAGAGGAUGAUCAGCCACACUGGAACUGAGACACGGUCCAGACUCCUACGGGAGGCAGCAGUGGGGAAUAUUGGACAAUGGGCGCAAGCCUGAUCCAGCCAUACCGCGUGGGUGAAGAAGGCCUUCGGGUUGUAAAGCCCUUUUGUUGGGAAAGAAAAGCAGCAGGUUAAUACCCCGCUGUUCUGACGGUACCCAAAGAAUAAGCACCGGCUAACUUCGUG